AAGUCAGCAUGGCCUUUAUAUCCCUGGGCUACGACACACGCUACAAUGGGAAGGGACAAUAGGUUGCGAAGCCGCGAGGCGGAGCCAAUCCAGCAAAACUUCCCUCAGUUCAGAUUGCAGGCUGCAACUCGCCUGCAUGAAGUUGGAGUUGCUAGUAAUCGCGUAUCAGCGCGACGCGGUGAAUACGGUUCCCGGGCCUU
rnacentral:rRNA from 1 species